rnacentral:rRNA from 1 species
GAUGAACGCUGGCGGCGUGCCUAAUACAUGCAAGUCGAGCGAAUGGAUUAAGAGCUUGCUCUUAUGAAGUUAGCGGCGGACGGGUGAGUAACACGUGGGUAACCUGCCCAUAAGACUGGGAUAACCCCGGGAAACCGGGGCUAAUACCGGAUAACAUUUUGAACCGCAUGGUUCGAAAUUGAAAGGCGGCUUCGGCUGUCACUUAUGGAUGGACCCGCGUCGCAUUAGCUAGUUGGUGAGGUAACGGCUCACCAAGGCAACGAUGCGUAGCCGACCUGAGAGGGUGAUCGGCCACACUGGGACUGGAACACGGCCCAGACUCCUACGGGAGGCAGCAGUAGGGAAUCUUCCGCAAUGGACGAAAGUCUGACGGAGCAACGCCGCGUGAGUGAUGAAGGCUUUCGGGUCGUAAAACUCUGUUGUUAGGGAAGAACAAGUGCUAGUUGAAUAAGCUGGCACCUUGACGGUACCUAACCAGAAAGCCACGGCUGACUACGUGCCAGCAGCCGCAGUAA